AGAGUUUGAUCCUGGCUCAGAUUGAACGCUGGCGGCAGGCUUAACACAUGCAAGUCGAGCGGUAGCACAGGGGAGCUUGCUCCCUGGGUGACGAGCGGCGGACGGGUGAGUAAUGUCUGGGAAACUGCCUGAUGGAGGGGGAUAACUACUGGAAACGGUAGCUAAUACCGCAUAACGUCGCAAGACCAAAGAGGGGGACCUUAGGGCCUCUUGCCAUCAGAUGUGCCCAGAUGGGAUUAGCUAGUAGGUGGGGUAAUGGCUCACCUAGGCGACGAUCCCUAGCUGGUCUGAGAGGAUGACCAGCCACACUGGAACUGAGACACGGUCCAGACUCCUACGGGAGGCAGCAGUGGGGAAUAUUGCACAAUGGGCGCAAGCCUGAUGCAGCCAUGCCGCGUGUGUGAAGAAGGCCUUCGGGUUGUAAAGCACUUUCAGCGAGGAGGAAGGUGGUGAACUUAAUACGUUCAUCAAUUGACGUUACUCGCAGAAGAAGCACCGGCUAACUCCGUGCCAGCAGCCGCGGUAAUACGGAGGGUGCAAGCGUUAAUCGGAAUUACUGGGCGUAAAGCGCACGCAGGCGGUUUGUUAAGUCAGAUGUGAAAUCCCCGGGCUCAACCUGGGAACUGCAUUUGAAACUGGCAAGCUAGAGUCUCGUAGAGGGGGGUAGAAUUCCAGGUGUAGCGGUGAAAUGCGUAGA
rnacentral:rRNA from 1 species